rnacentral:lncRNA from 10 species
UGUGAUCUUCAUGCUGCUAAACACAAAGCGCUGUGCUAGCAGGAAGGUCUGUGAAGUUUGCAAUAAAGCCAUUAUGAAGUCAAGAAUGGAGGUUCCAUUUUUAAAGAACUCAGAGGGGGUAGAUCUUGAUUGACAUCUCAUCUGGGGUCACCUGGUCUUCAACUGAGAGAUCUUUUGGUUCGCCACGGAUGCCCCUUGCAGUUAUGGAAGUUCACUCUUUGAGAGAGAGAUAAAUAAACAUUAAAAUGUAAAGAAAAAAAAAAUCAGCAAUGGAAGGAAAAAGGAACAAAAAGCAAUCCAUUGGCGUCAAGCUUGACUGGACCACUCCACUGCUCUGCUGCCGUUAGUGAACCUGACCCUGCAGCAGGAGUCACAGACUCACCACUCACCUCAAGUCCUCACUCCCUGGACCCUCAAUCUACACAUCACUUUGUCUUUUAUUUCCCUGAGAAAUACAGGCCAUCAGUUUGCAGAUCCCUCCUUUCCCCUUACCCUGCAAAUCUCCAUCUAUUUGGAAAAGUGUGCCUCCUACAUUCCAAAGCUAACCCCUCCUCCUCUGCCACUAAUAUCAGCCCUACCUGCCUUCUUCUGUAACUUGCUCCAUUAAUUCCCUCCCCUCUCCCCCAGGUCUCCCUGCCUAUGAACAUAUUCAAGGACAUCAUAUCUUAAAAACAAACAAAUAUCAGGCACAAUGGCUCACACCUGUAAUCCCAGCACUUUGAGAGGUCAAGGCAGGAGAAUCACUUGAAUCCAGGGGUUCAAGACCAGCCUGGGAAACAUAGGGAGACCCUAUCUCUACAAAAAAUAUUUUUUAAAAAAAUUAGCCAGGUGUGGUGGUGUGCACCUGUAGUCCCAACUACUCAGAAGGCUGGGGUGGGAGAAAUAUUUCAGCCCAGGACGUCACUGUGCACAAUUGCUUUACUUUUUUUUCCCUUGGUAUAGACUUGUUGAAGAGUAAGCCUUCAUGUACUGUUUCCUCACUUUACAUUCACUCUCAACUGGAGACAAUAUAGAGUCUUCGCAGAUGCAGCUUUCUCCAGACCAACAAUGUGGUUAGACAUCUGGUUUUUCAUUGUUGUUGUUUGAUUUCUCUGACUAGCUUCCCUGACCAGAGGUCGUUUUGAGUUUCCUUCUCUGGAAUUUGACCACUGAGCAGAGACACAUAGGAGAGAAGACGUGAAUGCUGAGUCAUCAAUCAGCAUCACUGGGAAGAAAAAGCCUCUCAGUUUCUUCUGCUGGGACUCCCAGAGCUGGAGUAUUUUCUGCUCUUCCUAAGGCCUGGUAAUUCAGCUCUUUGUGAGACUGUGAGCUUUACCAUACCCUUCCAGUAGCAACCUUCUUCUUUUUUAAGUUCAUUGCGGGGAAUAGGGAGUGAUGGCUGAUGGACAUAGGGUUUCUUUUUGGGGUGACAAAAAUCUUCUAAAAUUAAGUGGUGGUGAUGGUUGCACAAUUUUGAAUAUACUAAAAACCGUGAAUUCUAAAGUUUAAACAGGUGAAUUCUGUGCUAUAUAAAUUGUAUCUCAAUGAAAUUACUAAUAUUCUAAAGCCUCCCAAGUGACUUAGAUGUUCGGUGAGUGUUGAAAGCCAGUUAUUUAUCACAUCCUUAAGUCCUGCUACCUUUCUCUCACUCUAAUCUCACCUUGUCACCCAGGCUGGAGUGCAAUGGCAUAAUCUCAGCUCACUGCAACCUCUGUCUCCCAGGCUCAAAUGAUUCUCCUGCCUCAGCCUCCUGAGUAGCUGGGAUUACAGGCGCCCAUGGACUACCAGCUUUUUAAGUAGACUUUUUAGCCAAAGGCCAAGGGAAACUACCCUCUUCCUACUGGGGUUCAAAUUGAUUAAAAUGGUUUGCUUUGACUUUUGUUGAAGUCUCUUUAUUUUCUUUUUAAGAUUAUGUUAAAUUAUAAUCCACAUUGGCUUUCUUUUUACAGGUAAACUUUUUCUCUUCUAGAUUUCUAGACGGCCUUCCCCCACUUCGCUUCUCUCUCUGCCAUUUUCCUCCCCUCUCCCGCCUCCCCAAGUUAGAAGAGGCUGACAAAAAGAGGCUCAUCAAAGUUAAAUGUUGCCAACAUAAAUUGGUCCCUCUUCUCUUCCUUGAUGUGACUGGUCUCUCAACCUAUUGAUGGCAUCCAGUUCCAACUUUCCUCUUCUCAUUUGGGACAUUGGGAGGAGAGUAGUCUCUAUUUUUAAUAACAAAGUAG